AUUGAACGCUGGCGGCAGGCCUAACACAUGCAAGUCGGGCGAGAGGCGGACGGGUCAGUCAUGUAUGGGGAUCUGCCUGAUGGAGGGGGAUAACUCCUGGAAACGUUAGCUAAUACCGCAUACCCUCAGCUGCACCCACAUGGGAUUAGCUUGUAGGUGAGGUAACGGCGCACCUAGGCGACGAUCCCUACCUGGUCUGAGAGGAGGAUCAGCCACACUGGGACUGAGACACGGCCCAGACGCCUACGGGAGGCAGCAGUGGGGAAUAUUGCACAAUGGGCGCAAGCCUGAGCCAGCCAUGCCGCGUGUAUGAAGAAGGCCUUCGGGUUGUAAAGUACUUUCAGUCGGGAGGCGUUACCGACAGAAGAAGCACCGGCUAACUCCGUGCCAGCAGCCGCGGUAAUUC
rnacentral:rRNA from 1 species